rnacentral:lncRNA from 1 species
ACACACACAACCCCACACCGGUCGCAUCGCGCCAAGGGCGUGUCCCGCAGGCUGCACUGUGGGGGCGGACUGGGGAGGGGGCUGCGGGGGCCGCGCCCGGCCACGUCCAGAAGUGGAGCAUCCCUCCUUCGACGCACUGUUCCAGCCCACGGGCUGACGACCCUUGGGCGGACCCAGACUCAAUGCACUCGCAGGAGGUGGAAGGCAGUGAGGGUGGAGAAAUGAAACGGUGCCCUACUGGCCCGGAGCGGAGGCCCGAGCAUCUCUCCAGCGGCGGAUCGAGCCUUGCCCCCGCGCAGACAGCCCCGGGCAGACCCCAGACCCAGUCCACUCGCGGCGGGCAGGAGGAAUCGGGAAGGGAGAUAACAGCCCUCAACCCACUGUCUCCCUCCCCCCGAGGGGGACGUCCGGCCAAGUCCGAGGACGGAGCAUCCUUCCGCGGAAGCCAGGUCCUUCCCCGCGUAGCUCCGGGCUCCCCGCGAGCCCCGCUAUCCGAGGGUAGCGCUGGGGUCCCCUGCGCCCGACCGGACGGCCAGUACCCGGGGACCGCGCCGGGCUCCCAGAAGCUUCGCGGGCCCCCGCCUGGCCCGCGCAGCUCGCAAGGCGCCCUCCCCACGCGCGGCCCCGGCCGGGCCUUACCGAGUAGGCGGACGGCGGUUCGGCGGCAGCAGAAUGAGCUAGCGCUGGGCGAGCGCCGGGGGCGGGAGGGCCGCGGGCGAGGCUGGAGCGCACCGACGCCGGUCGCCACCGAUUGGCUGAGGCGCGUCGGGCUGCGGCGGGAGCUAGCAGGCAACUCCCGGUAAGCGACUGGGGGCGGGGCCUGGAUGGGGCGGGGCCUGGACGGGGCGGGGUCAGGUGAGGAAACUGAGGUUCGCUAUUUUGACUGCCAACGCAGCCUUUGCCUAGAUGGGAUCUAGGACGAGAUUCCUCUCCUUCUCCAUCUGUAAAAUGGGCCAACUCAUCAGGGCUAUGCCCAUAAAAGCACUUAGCAACGUGCCUGAUCUAUGCUGCGCUUAUAGGGCAGGCUGAUGCUGCUCAUGCUCCACCCCCACCUUUACAGACGAGGAACCCCGUGGGGGAAAGGAUGACUAACUUGAGGGAGAUCACACAGCUAAGAAUGAACGGAUCCUAGAAGUGAAGCAGUCAGGCACGUGCCCUUUUGGUGCCACCUGCCAACCUACCAUGCGGAAAUACUGCUAUGUUCCACCCCCGUCCCACGCGUGAGCCUUGCCUCCAGUUAUUGAUUCUUUGAAUCUGUCAAUCCUGAAAUCGGGGAGGGACGGGAAGAACCUCUCCUAGUUUUUAGGCGCCCUUCUUUAAGGACUGAAGUUGAUGGUCUCACCCCACGCUGGCUCUUGCUUGGCCCCGCCCAUCUCGUGCCCUACGAGGCAGGUGGUGUGGGCCAGGACGCCAAGGCACAACUUCGAGACGCCGGCUUCCUACACCUGCCCUGGGCACUCGCGCGUCGCCUCCCCGCCUGUCCCUGCUCAUGGGCCUUUCUGGCUUGCGCCACGGAGGCUGGACUGUCAUGCUCACCUCACGCCCUUCCCUGCUCUCCCUGGAACCCCAGCGCGGGCAGGUCCCCGCCCCAAGGUCACUUCCUUGUUUAAUCAGUGCCCUGUUGUGCGUCCCUCUCGGAUUGGCCCUGCGCCCUGUCUGUUGCGAAGGCUCGGCGGCCUUGACCGGGAGCUGCUCCCUGCGCGCCGCCUCCGAGCCACCUGCAGGCGGGGUGGGGGAGGGACCCAGGAGCGCGGGAGCCUCGCUCACCUGUGCCUCCGCUGCGUAGUUCGCGCCGAGCUACGGGGCCUCGUUCCCCUCUUGGGGUCUACCCGGUGCCUCUGCUUCGGGAACUGCAGCUCCCAGGAGUGUCUAUUAAUAAAAGGCGAGAGCCAGACCCCUGGGGAGCUAGUUCCAGGCCUGAUCUUAAAUCCCCUGGGGCCAAAAAUAUCCCAGUACCCAACUCAGAAACUGGAAUAAUCUUUCUCAAGCUCUGUUGGCUUUUUAGUCUUCAAAUUCUUUCCUGUUUUUUUUUUCCUUUCCCAGUUGUUUUUUGUUUGUUUGUUUGUUUGUUUGUUCCGGGGAUCAAACUCGGGACCUUGGGCUUUCAAGGCAGGCUCCAGAACCACUGAGCUAAAUCCCCAGCCUUCUUUCCCAGUUUUAAUAAAAUAUAAUGUAGCAGCUGCUUACUAUAGAAACUUUUUCAAGAAUAAGAAAACUUUUUAAAAUGCACGUAAUGUUUUUUAUCACUGAGGUUUCUUUUUUUAAUUCUAAAAAUACCUUU